AGUGAACGCUGGCGGUAGGCCUAACACAUGCAAGUCGAACGGCAGCACAGUAAGAGCUUGCUCUUACGGGUGGCGAGUGGCGGACGGGUGAGGAAUACAUCGGAAUCUACUUUUUCGUGGGGGAUAACGUAGGGAAACUUACGCUAAUACCGCAUACGACCUACGGGUGAAAGCAGGGGAUCUUCGGACCUUGCGCGAUUGAAUGAGCCGAUGUCGGAUUAGCUAGUUGGCGGGGUAAAGGCCCACCAAGGCGACGAUCCGUAGCUGGUCUGAGAGGAUGAUCAGCCACACUGGAACGGAGACACGGUCCAGCCUCCUAAGGGAGGCAGCAGUGGGGAAUAUUGGACAAUGGGCGCAAGCCUGAUCCAGCCAUAGCGCGUGGGUGAAGAAGGCCUUCGGGUUGUAAAGCCCUUUUGUUGGGAAAGAAAAGCAGCAGGUUAAUACCCCGCUGUUCUGACGGUACCCAAAGAAUAAGCACCGGCUAACUUCGUG
rnacentral:rRNA from 1 species